rnacentral:rRNA from 1 species
AUUGAACGCUGGCGGCAUGCUUUACACAUGCAAGUCGAACGGCAGCGCGGGCUUCGGCCUGGCGGCGAGUGGCGAACGGGUGAGUAAUACAUCGGAACGUGCCCAGUAGUGGGGGAUAGCUCGGCGAAAGCCGGAUUAAUACCGCAUACGACCUGAGGGUGAAAGCGGGGGAUCUUCGGACCUCGCGCUAUUGGAGCGGCCGAUGGCAGAUUAGCUAGUUGGUGGGGUAAAGGCCUACCAAGGCGACGAGCUGUAGCUGGUCUGAGAGGACGACCAGCCACACUGGGACUGAGACACGGCCCAGACUCCUACGGGAGGCAGCAGUGGGGAAUCUUGGACAAUGGGCGAAAGCCUGAUCCAGCAAUGCCGCGUGUGUGAUGAAGGCCUUCGGGUUGUAAAGCACUUUUGGCGGGAACGAAAAGGACUGUGCCAAUACCACGGUUCGAUGACGGUACCCGCAGAAUAAGCACCGGCUAACUACGUG